rnacentral:rRNA from 1 species
AAUCAACGCUGGCGGCGUGCCUCAGACAUGCAAGUCGAACGAUUAAAGCUCUCUUCGGAGAGUGUAUAGAGUGGCGCACGGGUGAGUAACACGUAAGUAAUCUACCCUCGAGUGGGGAAUAACAACCGGAAACGGUUGCUAAUACCGCAUAAUGCAGCGGCACCGCAAGGUGACAGUUGUUAAAGAUUUAUCGCUUGAGGAGAAGCUUGCGGCAGAUUAGCUAGUUGGUAGGGUAACGGCUUACCAAGGCUACGAUCUGUAACCGGUCUAAGAGGACGGUCGGUCACACUGACACUGAAUAACGGGUCAGACUCCUACGGGAGGCAGCAGUUGGGAAUUUUGGGCAAUGGGCGAAAGCCUGACCCAGCAACGCCGCGUGAAGGAUGAAGUAUUUCGGUAUGUAAACUUCGAAAGAAUAGGAAGAAUUAAUGACGGUACUAUUUAUAAGGUCCGGCUAACUACGUG